CAUCCGCUGGCAGCGUGCCAGGACACGCCCCUGCUCGCUUUGGCCAUCGCCGGCAAAGCUGCAAGCAAUCAGCGCACCUGGGUCUAAUGAAGGCUAGCAGUAUAAAGACCAGCGGACCCGAGGAUCCUGCGCCGGAACGUAGUUCACUCUUUGUAUGUUUUUCCUGUUCUCCGUGAUCGAGCUGUGUGCCUCGACUCCUCUCUGGAUUUUGGACUGCUUCCCCCGAUCCUCGACCCCCUGCUUGGACUGGUUGCUUCUCUCCUUCCCCCGACCGCUUGCUUGCCUACGGACUGCCUUCUUGCCUGCCCCACUGGACUGACGAAAGAUUCAUCCAACACGUACUUACAACAAAUCCUGCGGCCGAGGAAUGAUCUCUGGGAUCACUACCGCCCUCUACCACCAGGAGGCCGGAUUACUGCAAGCCUCAGCCAGGACGUCUUUUGCAGCAGUUUUAUGAAGGCUCAGCACAAAAAAUAAGUUACACACAUACAGUUGUUGACAAAAUACACUGUAAAUUAUAUACCUCAGCUAACUAAACUAUGCCAUAGUUUAGUUAGCUGGUAUAAUUAAUAUAGCAAUACAGUCUCACUGCACAG